AGAGUUUGAUCCUGGCUCAGGAUAAACGUUGGCGGUGCGCUUUAUGCAUGCAAGUCGAACGGGGUUAUGGUUUUCGGACUGUAACCUAGUGGCGAACGGUUGAGUAACACGUAAAUAACCUACCUCUGAGUGGGGGAUAACCUGUCGAAAGGCAGACUAAUACCGCGUGUGGUAAUCAGGGAUUGCCUGGUUAUUAAAGCCUUAGGGCGCUCGGAGAGGGGUUUGCGUCUGAUUAGCUAGUUGGUAGGGUAAUGGCCUACCAAGGCGACGAUCAGUAGCUGGUCUGAGAGGAUGUCCAGCCAGAUGAGGACUGAGACACGGCCCCAACUCCUACGGGAGGCAGC
rnacentral:rRNA from 1 species